GACGAACGCUGGCGGCGUGCUUAACACAUGCAAGUCGAACGAAGAGCGAUGGAAGCUUGCUUCUAUCAAUCUUAGUGGCGAACGGGUGAGUAACGCGUAAUCAACCUGCCCUUCAGAGGGGGACAACAGUUGGAAACGACUGCUAAUACCGCAUACGAUCUAAUCUCGGCAUCGAGGAUAGAUGAAAGGUGGCCUCUACAGGUAAGCUAUCACUGAAGGAGGGGAGUGCGGUUGUUUAGCAAGUUGGAGGGGAAAGGGCCCACCAAGGCGAUGGUCAGUAGCCGGUCUGAGAGGAUGAACGGCCGCAUUGGGACUGAGACCCGGCCCAGACUCCUACGGGAGGCAGCAGUGGGGAAUCUUCCGCCAGAGACGGAAGUCUGACGGAGCAACGCCGCGUGAGGGAUGACGGCCUUCGGGUUGUAAAGCUCUGUUAAUCGGGACGAAAGGCCUUCUUGCGAAUAGUGAGAAGGAUUGACGGUACCGGAAAAGAAAGCCACGGCUAACUACGUG
rnacentral:rRNA from 1 species